UGUCGUCGAAAGCCCCUCGCUCGCACGCCGCAUCCCUCCCUCCCUCCUCAGCCGCGACAGCACGAAUCGACGAACCCUCUCCCUCUCCAUUGCGUGUGCGUGCUCAUCGCCUCCCGCUCCCCAUCGUUCCCCCGACGCCUCCACCGGCUACCAUGGAUCCAUGGGCGAUGGGACAGUACAAGGGAGGGAAGGACGCCGCCGUCGACCCGUCGCUUAGGUUGGUGGCGCAUGGGUCGGGUCUGGGCAGAAGGCCGGCGCCUGCAGGGGGAAAGCAACGGGGGUUGGUGCAGCGGCAAAUGAGGACGGGGUGGGCCAUGGACGGAGGCUCGCCGGCCGGAGCAGCCGGAGCAACAUGUUCGAUGAAAUCAGGUUCGACGAUCUGCUAGGUUGCUGCAUCUGCAACUCUGUGCUGCUGUUCAAGGUUUGCUUGAUUCUUUUUUACCUACAUGCUUGUUCUUUCUCGCUGCACAGAUGCUUCUCUUUCUCUAAGUACUGAACUCUGCUGUGCUGUCUCUAGCUACAUGAAUUUACUUUUCUUCGUCGGUCUAAUUGUCUAUUGAUGGGUCAUUCAUGUUAUGGUUAUGUGAACUUUAAGAUGUAAUAAUAUAUGGUGUUUAAAUUUUUA